UCUCCGUUGGUGAACCAGCGGAGGGAUCAUUACCGAGUUUACAACUCCCAAACCCAAUGUGAACGUUACCAAACUGUUGCCUCGGCGGGGUCACGCCCCGGGUGCGUCGCAGCCCCGGAACCAGGCGCCCGCCGGAGGAACCAACCAAACUCUUUCUGUAGUCCCCUCGCGGACGUUAUUUCUUACAGCUCUGAGCAAAGAUUCAAAAUGAAUCAAAACUUUCAACAACGGAUCUCUUGGUUCUG
rnacentral:misc_RNA from 1 species